CGGCGCUCGGGCUGGCUCGCCGGCCGCCUCCGCCGCCGGGCACGACCAGCGUCUGCAUCUGCCGCACCAGCUCGGGCAUGCGGUCCCAGUGGCCCUCGGCGCGGCAGCGCUCCAGCUCGCUCUCCAUCUUCAGGUCUUGGAGAAUCUUUGAUAGUGACUUUCAGCUGAGAAUGAAACCAGAGCUUAAAAUCCACCAUAAGAGGUCUUCUGUGUGCUGAAGGAGGUUUACCUUAAGGAAACAUUUUUUAGACCUCGUUUUCAACCACAUGAUCUUGGGAAGAGGACCUUGAGCCUUAGAGGAGACCCCAGCCCUGGCCAGCACCUUGAUUUCACCUUGUGAGCGUCUGAGCAGAGAACCUAGUUAAUCCCCACCUGGACUUCUGAUCUACGGAACUGUGAGGCAAAAAAUGCGUGUUUUUUUAAGCUGCUAAGUUUUAGUAAUUUGUUAUGCAGAAAUAGAAAACUAUUACAGUGUUUUUGCCAGUGAAUAAAUCACUCAGUUUUUGUCUGAAAA